rnacentral:misc_RNA from 1 species
CCGAGUUUACAACUCCCAAACCCAAUGUGAACGUUACCAAACUGUUGCCUCGGCGGGAUCUCUGCCCCGGGUGCGUCGCAGCCCCGGACCAAGGCGCCCGCCGGAGGACCAACCAAAACUCUUAUUGUAUACCCCCUCGCGGGUUUUUUUAUAAUCUGAGCCUUCUCGGCGCCUCUCGUAGGCAUUUCUAAAUGAAUCA